rnacentral:lncRNA from 1 species
AGAAGUCAUUAAUUCAAAUUCUUUAUUGUUGAAAAUUAUUUGAUAUCCUUUUAUUUUCUCAUUGAUAACUGCAAAUCUUUGAACCAUGAGCUUUAAGUGAACAUAAUGGCUUUUUGGAAUAUUAGUUUAGCACUUUCAACACCACAAUUUUGAACAGUGCUUGCAUUCGACAUUCACAUCACUUGCAAUAAGUCAUUUUCAUUUCAGAAAUGAAAAUCACUUGUUUUAUUUUAUAUUAAUUCUGGCAUGGUAUCAAAGGGCAUUUCAGGACAUUUUGAGAAAUGUUCCAAUCUAUAGUUCAUUAUUAUGUUCUUCCACAGUUUUAGAAUAUUAACAUUUACAGCAUUUAAGAGGAAUGUUAAGAAGCAGCACUUUGUUAGCACUCAUUCUGGAUGUUUUUUUCUCUCUCCAAUUUACAACUUUCAAUUCAAACACAGUAUCUUUAUAGAAAAGUGUACAUGUUACAAGUGUAUUGCUUGAUAAACUCACAAACUGAACACAUCCAUGUGAUUGGCACCCAGGUUGAGAAACAGAACAUACCAGCAUCCCAGAAGCCCCAACCCCCAUAUCUUUCAGUUAUUUGCUUCCCACUCAAGAGUAAUCAACAUCCUGGUUUUGUGCUUUACAUAAAUAGAACCAUAAAGUAUGUGGUUUUUUGUGUCUGGGUUCUUUUGCUCAACAUUAAGUUUUUGAGAUCAUCCGUAACUUUACAUGCAGUUAUACAUCUUUCAAUCUUAUUGUAUUCUAUUGUGUAGCAAUACCAUAAUUUGUCUAUUUGGAUUAUUACCAGGUUUGGAUAUUAUCAGUGGUGUUGCUAUAAAUACUCAGUGCUCUAACCAAUACGGUAGCUACUAGCCACGUGUAGGUCUUUAAUUUUAAAUAAAAUUAAACUGAAAAAUCGAUUCCUUAGCUGCAUUAACCACAUUUCAAGUGCCCAGUAGCCAUGUGGCUAGCAGCUACUUCAUGGAUAGCACAGAACAGGGUAUUCGCAUCACUGCAGCAAGUUCCACUGCACAGUGGUGACUUGUGUGUUGGUGAACAUAUGGAAUUGCUGGGUCAUAUGGUAUGCAUUGACAGCAGAUAAUGUCAAAUAAUUUUAAGAUGUUUGUUAUUAUUUUGUUACAAAUUUUUCUAUUUUAAAAAAUUAAACACUGUAUUUACUUUUCACCUAAGAAUUACAAUGCACUAAAAUAGUAAAACCAAAUAAAAAAUUAAACUAUACAGAAAGCAGUAGCAACUGUUAAAACAUGGAAUGAUUCAUAGAUAAGGCAUGAGGCAGCUACAUUAUUUACCAUGACAAAGGCCAAGAGAUGUUCCCAAUGUUUCUCAGAUGUCAUUACCACAGAAGGUCCAUUAUCAAUGGCAGUCACAGAUGAAGUAGUGAACUUACACUGGAAUUUUAAAAUUUUAUUAAUUUUGGUGCUAUUGCAGUUAUAGUACUACUACUUACCACUGGUACAGGAGAAUUUCAGUACUUUAACUGAGAGAGCAAAGCUGGAGUCUAUCAACUAAAUAUCAAAUCUGCUCAUAACCCCAACCAAUUAACACUGGAUAUCAUCAACCUUUUAUCAAGUUCUGACAAACUAACAAGUCAAUGUUGCUGUCGUCUAAACUGCAUUUAACCAUGAAUGAAUUUGUGUACCUGUACAUGUAUUUGUUGGUCCUUAUCAUUUCUCCCCUCUGAAGUUGCUCAUUUAUAUCUCUUGCCCAUUUAAAAUUGUUGAUUUAUAAAUACUUUUACUAUUAUAUACUAUGAUCGCCCAUGUAUAUCCUUUACCCAUUUCAAAUUACUAAUUUGUAAAUGUUCUUUUUAUAUUAAGGAAAUUAGCCUUUUGUCUACAGAAGUCUUACAAAUGUUCCCUCCCCCCCGACUUACAGUUUAUCUUUUCCUGUAGAACUGUUUUAAAUUAUAUGUAUUCAAGUUCUUAAUCUCUUCCAUUUUGGCUUUUGUAUUUUGUCAUGCUUUGAGAGUCUUACCUUUUCAAAGAGUAUAUGAAAAAUUAACUCCUGUUUUUUUUUUCUCCCUUUGUUUUCAAAAUAUUUGAUGUAUCUGUAACUUACUUUGGUUUAAGAAAUAAGGUACAGAGCCAGACUUGUAUUUUUCUAAGUGGCUAAUAAUGUUUUUGUCAGACACUACUAGUUACCUACCUGGCAUCCAUUCCCCUCACUAACAAAUUGUGAAUUUGUUUAGGGCAGUAAUGUGCCCAAUUAAAAUACUUUCCCAGACUCUCUUGCAGCAAGGGAUGGCCAAGUGAUUCAGUUCUGUCCUGAUAUAGGGCAAGUCACUGAAUGUGGCUUCCAGACAGAUUUUUAAAUAAAAGCAAUUUUGACUGACAUGGUCCAUUUGGCCUCUUAACCUUCACCUUUCUUUCUGGAAUCUACAUGUAAUAGCAGGAGGUGGAAGCAGCUAUCUUCAGAUAAGGAUGAAAGCGACCCACCAAAAACAGAAUAAAAAGAUAAAGGAAUUUGAGUCAUUAAUGACAUUAAGCUGCCAUAUUAACCCUGGAUUACAUACCCUUGGAUUACCUAUGUGAGAAAACCUAUUUACUGAAGCCAUUGAUCAUCGGGUUGUUUCUUGCAAACAAAUACAUUCCUAUCUGAUGCAUUUAUCUCCACUUAUUUAAUAAUUUAUCUUUUUAUACAAAUUUGGCAUGCUACGUUUAUCACAUACUAACUUCCUAUAUAUAAAUAUUUCUGGAAACCCUCUUGUUUCAUUGCUCUAAAUGACUUCAGUUUAAUAGCUAAUAUUUACUGAUUACUAGGACAAUUCUACAUGCUUUACAUUAAAUAACUCUAAUCCUCCCAACAGUCUUUUGAACCUUAAUUUAACAUUGAUGUAUAGCACUUGUAAGCCUAAAACUAAGAGUGGAUUUUUAAAAGUGGAAUAGAAAAGAUCAAAAGGAAAGGGAAUAAAGAUGUUUCAAUUAUCUGUAUGAUGGAUUAGGAUAGAAGACAACUACUAUGUUGCUAUCUAACUGGCAACACUGCUGUUCCAUUUUAUAAUGGAAAGAGCACCAGAUUUAGGGUUUGCAGACAUAAAUAAUUUUGCAGGUCAACAGCGCUAUUAGGCCACAUCCACAGCAUGUGAAAGUUCCUGGGCCAAAGGUCAAACCCGUGCCACAGCAGUGACCUGGACUGCUGUAGUGACAAUGCUUGAUCCUUAACCCACUGUGCCACAAGGGAAUUCCAACUCUGUUAUUUCACAUUACAGAAAAUGUCCCUGGCCCUGUGGAGCUUACACUAUAGUGGAGGAAUUUUUUAAAAAAAUCUAGACACUUAGAGUACUGCUACAAAUGAAAUAAGCAAUGACAUAAUACAUAUAACUGGAGCAUGGCUGGAUAGUUAAAGGAUUCAGGGAAAUUCUGCUGAACAAAUGGUUAUGAAAUCUGUAUAAUACAUACAGAAAAGUACAUAAAACAUACAGCUUAAUGAAUUUUUAAAAACCACCCACUGACUCUUUCCAAAUACAACUCUUUUCCAAAUACAACCCUUCCAUUAAAGAGUAAGCAUUUGGAGUUUCCACUGUGGCUCAGCAGUAACAAAUUCAACUAGCAUUCAUGAAGAUGCAGGUUUAAUCCCUGGCCUUGCUCAAUGGGUUAAGGAUCCAGCGUUGCUGUGAGCUGUGGUGCAGGCCAGCAGCUGCAGCUUCGAUCUGACCCCUAGCCUGGGAACUUCCAUAUGCUGAAGGUGCAGCCCUAAAAACAAAACAAGCAAAAAAAAAAAAAAAAAAAAAAAAAAAAAAAAAAAAAAGAAAGAAAAAAAAAGAAAAAGAAAGAGUAAAAGCAUCAACCUGACUUUAAUGAUGGUCACCUUCCUGCACCGUGGCUCUAAUCUUUCAUGUUCAUUGCAUAAGAUUCCACUGGAUAACUGUACCCACUUUACGCUGUUGGGUAUGCUAUGUCCAAUUUUUGGCUAUUACAAAACAUGUUACUAUGUCUCUUGCGGUAUGUACAUGCAUUUCUGUUUGGGGAUAUAUCAAAAGCAGAAUUGCAGACCAUGGUCUUAGUAUUUUUUUGGCAGGAGGGGCCUUUUUAGGGCUGCACCUGCAGCAUAUGGAGGUUCCCAGGCUAGGGCCAGAAUCAGAGCUACAGCUGCCAGCCUACGCCACAGCCACAGCAAGGCAGGAUCCAAGUUGUGUCUGUGACCUACAGCACAGCUCACUGCAACGCCAGAUCCCCGACCCACUGACCAAGGCCAGGGAUCGAACCCACAACCUCACAGUUCCUAGUCAGAUCUGUUUCCACUGUGCCACUACAGGAACUCCCCAUGGUCUUAGUAUUAAAAGCAUGUUUUAGUUACCAUAUUUCUUUUUUUUUUAGAGCCACACAAGCAGCAUGUGGAGGUUCCCAGACUAGGGGUCAAACUGUAGCUACAAGGUGCCAUCUUUCACCAAGGCCACAGCAACGCUAGGUCCAAGCCGCGUCUGUGACCUACACCACAGCUCAGAGCAACAUCAGGUCCUUAACCCACUGAGCAAGGCCAGGGAUCGAACUCGCAACCUCAUGGUUCC